AGUGAACGCUGGCGGUAGGCCUAACACAUGCAAGUCGAACGGCAGCACAGUAAGAGCUUGCUCUUACGGGUGGCGAGUGGCGGACGGGUGAGGAAUACAUCGGAAUCUACUUUUUCGUGGGGGCUAACGUAGGGAAACGUACGCUAAUACCGCAUACGACCUACGGGUGAAAGCAGGGGAUCUUCGGACCUUGCGCGAUUGAAUGGGCCGAUGUCGGAUUAGCUAGUUGGCUGGGUAAAGGCCCACCAAGGCGACGAUCCGUAGCUGGUCUGAGAGGAUGAUCAGCCACACUGGAACUGAGACACGGUCCAGACUCCUACGGGAGGCAGCAGUGGGGAAUAUUGGACAAUGGGCGCAAGCCUGAUCCAGCCAUACCGCGUGAGUGAAGAAGGCCUUCGGGUUGUAAAGCCCUUUUGUUGGGAAAGAAAAGCAGCAGGUUAAUCCCCCGCUGUUCUGACGGUACCCAAAGAAUAAGCACCGGCUAACUUCGUG
rnacentral:rRNA from 1 species